rnacentral:lncRNA from 10 species
CUGAAAUCAGGCUGGGAGAGGAACCGGGCUCUGGAUGUUUUGUUUUCCAUUCUCCUUUCCUGUCUACUGCCAUUCAGGCCUUCACUUCUAUAAAUCUCUCUGUUUUCCUCUAAAAAGCAUGCUUCCUCUGCCCUCUGGUCAGAAUGACUAGGUGGGAGGGUUUUUGCGGGUGUCUUAUGGGACCUCCACCUCUCAGACUGAAGGGCCUGUGGGUCUGUGGGAAGGCUGCUCAGGAGCCCUGGAUUGGGGGUACCCACAGGAAGACCCCCACUUCAGAGGGCUAUAGAGGAUCAAAGUCUGACUGCUUGUGGUGGGCUGGUCCCUCUCUCUCAAUCAAUGGGAUGGGAGUCAACUCUGAGACUGAAUAUGAAGGAAUCAGUACCUCCUGGGCCCAUGGGGGUGAGCUGGAUCUGCACACACAGCGGUGCUCAUACUUGUCCUUCAAGACUUA